rnacentral:rRNA from 1 species
CCAGACUCCUACGGGAGGCAGCAGUGGGGGAUAUUGCACAAUGGGGGAAACCCUGAUGCAGCGACGCCGCGUGAGCGAUGAAGUAUUUCGGUAUGUAAAGCUCUAUCAGCAGGGAAGAAAAUGACGGUACCUGACUAGGAAGCCCCGGCUAACUACGUGCCAGCAGCCGCGGUAAUACGUAGGGGGCAAGCGUUAUCCGGAUUUACUGGGUGUAAAGGGAGCGUAGACGGCGGCGCAAGCCAGAUGUGAAAGCCCGGGGCCCAACCCCGGGACUGCUCUUGGAACUGCGCGGCUGGAGUGCAGGAGGGGCAGGCGGAAUUCCUGGUGUAGCGGCGAAAUGCGUAGAUAUCAGGAGGAACACCGGUGGCGAAGGCGGCCUGCUGGACUGCGACUGACGUUGAGGCCCGAAAGCGUGGGGAGCAAACAGGAUUAGAUACCCCCGUAUUA